GAUGAACGCUGGCGGCGUGCAUAACACAUUCAAGUCGAACGGUGAUGGAAACUUCGGUUUCCUGAUCAGUGGCGGACGGGUGAGUAACGCGUGAGCAACCUGCCCUAUAUUGCGGGAUAACAACCGGAAACAGUUGCUAAUACCGCAUGACGUAUUCGGAUCGCAUGUUCUGAAUACCAAAGAAUUUUGAUAUAGGAUGGGCUCGCGUCCGAUUAGGCAGUUGGUGGGGUAACGGCCCACCAAACCGACGAUCGGUAGCCGAACUGAGAGGUUGAACGGCCACAUUGGGACUGAGACACGGCCCAGACUCCUACGGGAGGCAGCAGUGGGGGAUAUUGCACAAUGGGGGAAACCCUGAUGCAGCGACGCCGCGUGAGUGAAGAAGUAUUUCGGUACGUAAAGCUCUAUCAGCAAGGAAGAAAAAAGACGGUACUUGACUAAGAAGCCCCGGCUAACUACGUG
rnacentral:rRNA from 1 species